rnacentral:rRNA from 1 species
GAUGAACGCUGGCGGCGUGCCUCAAACAUGCAAGUCGAGCGGGGCUAUGUAAUAUCGCAAGGUAGAACAUAGCCUAGCGGCGAACGGGUGAGUAACACGUGGGUAACCUGCCUGGAAGACAGGGAUAACGAUUCGAAAGGGUCGCUAAUACCUGAUAAUAUCCUUUCAUCGCAUGGUGAUAGGAAGAAAGGGGAAACCCGCUUUCAGAUGGGCCCGCGUCCCAUCAGCUAGUUGGUAAGGUAAAGGCUUACCAAGGCGACGACGGGUAGCCGGUCUGAGAGGAUGUACGGCCACACUGGGACUGAGACACGGCCCAGACUCCGUACGGGGGGCAGCAGUAGGGUAAUUUUCGGCAAUGGGCGAAAGCCUGACCGAGCGACGCCGCGUGAGGGACGAAGGCCGUUCGGGUUAGUAAACCUCUGUCUGGGGGGAUGAGAACGGACGGUACCCCCGGAGGAAGCCCCGGCUAACUACGUG